UUGGAACCAAGAUGGAUUUUGUGGAUGAUAAACUCAGGUCGGAGUUCGUUUUUAUCAACCCAAACUCGAAAGGUCAAUGUGGAUGCGGUGAAUCUUUCAUGACAACAGCCGCUAAACAGGGUGGUAGUUAAAGGAUAUUGGGAGCCCUUCUAAUAAGCUAAGAUUUGAAAUAACAUACUUGAUUCCAGGGAGCUCUCAAAUUUAACCUUGGAAAUAAAACUAAGAGGUAAAUGCUAUUUGUUCUGUG